rnacentral:tRNA from 1 species
AAGAUACUAGUAAUAAGAAUUACACUACCUUGUCAAGGUAUAGUUGUAGGUUAGAGCCCUGCGUAUCUUA